GAUAUGUCGCAGGUAUAAACGGUGUACCAUCUUCUUUAAUUUUUCCGUAUAGUUCUUUAUAUAUUGCAGAAGCAGCGAAUAGAGUGUUUUUAUUUAAACGUAAUUUUCGAUUUCUAGUAGCGUUAUUCUCGGCCAUUCCUACAAAAUUAAAUACCUCGAAAUAACUAAUUCAUAUAAUGUCCUAUCUUAUACAAUGAUUAUAUGCAUACAGGAUGUCCCAGUAACUAUGUCAUAAAGCAAUACCCAAAACAGUAAACAUCACAGAUGAAGAUCACAACAUUAUUUGUAAUGUUCAGAGGAUAAACUAAUACCUUUCAAAUCCCACAUUAAUUCGAACAUGCUUGGAUAACCAACAACCAUUUCAUCUGUAUCGAUAGUCAACAUUGUAAACUUGGCUCUAUUUAACAAAGCUCCAAUAUCUCUAAUUUCAACGAAUGGUGAAAUAUGAGCUGAAAUCCCACCAUCCCUUUCCAAUUCUGCUAAUUGUAAGGAACUUCUGGAAAAACAAACAACAAACAAUAAAUUACCACAAAAUUG